rnacentral:rRNA from 1 species
AUUGAACGCUGGCGGCAGGCCUAACACAUGCAAGUCGAGCGGAUGAAGGGAGCUUGCUUCUGGAUUCAGCGGCGGACGGGUGAGUAUUGCCUAGGAAUCUGCCUGGUAGUGGGGGAUAACGUCCGGAAAGGGGCGCUAAUACCGAAUACGACAUGCGGGAGAAAGUGGGGGAUCUUCGGACCUCACGCUUUCAGAUGAGUCUAGGUCGGAUUAGCUAGUUGGUGGGGUAAAGGCCUACCAAGGCGACGAUCCGUAACUGGUCUGAGAGGAUGAUCAGUCACACUGGAACUGAGACACGUUCCAGACUCCUACGGUAGGCAGCAGUGGGGAAUAUUGGACAAUGGGCGGAAGCCUGAUCCAGCCGUGCCGCGUGUGUGAAAAAGGUCUUCGGAUUGUAAAGCACUUUAAGUUGGGAGGAAGGGCAGUAAGUUAAUACCUUGCUGUUUUGACGUUACCAACAGAAUAAGCACCGGCUAACUUCGUG